GAUGAACGCUGGCGGCGUGCCUAAUACAUGCAAGUCGAGCGGACGGACGAGAAGCUUGCUUUUCUGAUGUUAGCGGCGGACGGGUGAGUAACACGUGGAUAACCUACCUAUAAGACUGGGAUAACUUCGGGAGACCGGAGCUAAUACCGGAUAAUAUUUUGAACCGCAUGGUUCAAAAGUGAAAGACGGUCUUGCUGUCACUUAUAGAUGGAUCCGCGCUGCAUUAGCUAGUUGGUAAGGUAACGGCUUACCAAGGCAACGAUGCAUAGCCGACCUGAGAGGGUGAUCGGCCACACUGGAACUGAGACACGGUCCAGACUCCUACGGGAGGCAGCAGUAGGGAAUCUUACGCAAUGGGCGAAAGCCUGACGGAGCAACGCCGCGUGAGUGAUGAAGGUCUUCGGAUCGUAAAACUCUGUUAUUAGGGAAGAACAUAUGUGUAAGUAACUGUGCACAUCUUGACGGUACCUAAUCAGAAAGCCACGGCUAACUACGUG
rnacentral:rRNA from 1 species